AGUGAACGCUGGCGGUAGGCCUAACACAUGCAAGUCGAACGGCAGCACAGUAAGAGCUUGCUCUUACGGGUGGCGAGUGGCGGACGGGUGAGGAAUACAUCGGAAUCUACUUUUUCGUGGGGGAUAACGUAGGGAAACUUACGCUAAUACCGCAUACGACCUACGGGUGAAAGCAGGGGAUCUUCGGACCUUGCGCGAUUGAAUGAGCCGAUGUCGGAUUAGCUAGUUGGCGGGGUAAAGGCCCACCAAGGCGACGAUCCGUAGCUGGUCUGAGAGGAUGAUCAGCCACACUGGAACUGAGCCACGGUCCAGACUCCUACGGGAGGCAGCAGUGGGGAAUAUUGGACAAUGGGCGCGAGCCUGAUCCAGCCAUACCGCGUGGGUGCAGAAGGCCUUCGGGUUGUAAAGCCCUUUUGUUGGGAAAGAAAAGCAGCAGGUUAAUACCCCGCUGUUCUGACGGUACCCAAAGAAUAAGCACCGGCUAACUUCGUG
rnacentral:rRNA from 1 species